rnacentral:rRNA from 1 species
GACGAACGCCGGCGGCGUGCCUCAAACAUGCAAGUCGAGCGGGGAACUUUUAAAAGCGCAAGCUUUUAUAAGUUCCUAGCGGCGAACGGGUGAGUAACACGUGAGUAACCUGCCUUUCACUGGGGAAUAACAUCGAGAAAUCGGUGCUAAUACCGCAUAAUGUCACGAGACCGCAUGGUUUUGUGACCAAAGGAGUAAUCCGGUGAUAGAUGGACUCGCGUCCGAUUAGAUAGUUGGUGAGGUAACGGCCCACCAAGUCUACGAUCGGUAGCCGAACUGAGAGGUUGAUCGGCCACAUUGGGACUGAGACACGGCCCAGACUCCUACGGGAGGCAGCAGUGGGGAAUAUUGGGCAAUGGGCGAAAGCCUGACCCAGCAACGCCGCGUGAAGGAAGAAGGUCUUCGGAUUGUAAACUUCUUUGAUCAGGGACGAAUAAAUGACGGUACCUGAAGAACAAGCCACGGCUAACUACGUG